GGAAAAAGUUCUGCAUCAAGCUUAAAUUGGGCAAGGGUGAGGUGUGGUCCUGUUACACUGAUCAAGAAUGAAAGAAAGGGUACAGCAACAAACUGCAAAACGCCAGCAAGAUGCCUCGGGAGGAUUAGAAGAAGCCUUAAACAAAGACCUCCGAUUUGACGACGGGUGUUGCGUAGCUGUACCCGGCCCCGCCAAUGUAAAUGUGCGCUUGUCUUGUUCUUCAGCUGGUCAGGAGGAGCUCAUGGUCAUGGGGGCCAUUGCACACAUGCCCCAAGACUGAUGCAAUGUGACAGGGAGUGUGGCCAAACGGUGGCAGGCAGCGUCCGUCCAUGAGAUGAGAUGAUGGGGGAUCGAAGCGAAGCAGAAGCAGCCAGGCCAACACGCAGAGCAGCUUGCAGUUUUCUGGCUGGCUGAUCUUGCAACAAAUUAAGCACUUUCGGCUGGGCUGAGGUUCUAGACGGUGAGUACUAGUAGUAGUACCCCCUGCUCAACCGCAAAGCUCGGAUUGCCAACAAAAUUUGCCACCCCAAAAGCAGCUUUCUGCAGAUGGUGUGUACUACUAGCCUACUUCUUGUUGCCCAUGGUGUGUUUGGCUGACCGAGUUUGGGGUGCUGUGUAUGCAUGCAUGCAUGGCGUGCUCCAUGGGGAAGACGACGGAUUCUUGCUGGGCAGCGGCAGAUUGAGUUCUCCAGUACGGUCUGAUAUGAUACUGCUCGUGUGCUUCAUACUGUACGUAUAUAUGCGUUGGUGUAAAUUUGGAUGGGUUGAUUAGCAUAUGCUUCCAACAAAUUGAAGUGUUCAAUCCUGUAAUAAUACUACUGGUCUACUCACUGGAAGUCUGCAACAAGUUGUGCUCAUGUUUCAACCUCCAUUUCAGAGGCGAGUCAAUGCCCCCAGUCCCUAGCUAGCUUCUCCUGAAUCCUUAACUCCAUGCUAUUACUACUCCUUUGAGCAAGUCAGGAGGAGGACGAAAUGCUCAAACACACGCAGCAUGGGGAAUUUAAUCCACACCUCGCAAUCAGACCAUAAUUCAACAGAUGAAAACCGACGAGGAAAUUGAAUGGAUGGUCAAUGCACUGGCUGCUAGUGAAUUGUGAUCGGUUGAUCAAUCGGUCGACCGGUUCGUCACGCACGCAUGCAUGCUCCGUGCAGCUUGACCUGCAUCUGUUGCGAGAUAGGCAGGCAAAGGCAGCAGCAACAGCUGCAGAUAUGGCUGAGAUCAACUUGACCAUCAUGUGCCCUAGCCAGCUAGAGUACACAGGAGCAGUGCGUACAGCCCCAUGGUUUCUCUUAUGAUUAUAUAUGUUUUUAUAAGCCAAAACAAAAAAUUUAAGAUUUUAAUUUAAAGUUAAUUUAGUGAAAAGCAUUAUAGUUCACUAAGAGAAAGAGUAUCCCUAACAGUUUAUCUAUCUUAUUUUCUAUCUUGAAAAUAGAGAAAAUAAAGGAUGGAACGUAAA